GAUGAACGCUGGCGGCGUGCUUAACACAUGCAAGUCGAACGAAGCACUUUAUUACAAUUUCUUCGGAAUGACGAUUUAGUGACUGAGUGGCGGACGGGUGAGUAACGCGUGGGUAACCUGCCUUAUACAGGGGGAUAACAGUUAGAAAUGACUGCUAAUACCGCAUAAGCGCACAGGAUUGCAUGAUCUGGUGUGAAAAACUCCGGUGGUAUAAGAUGGACCCGCGUCUGAUUAGCUGGUUGGUGAGGUAACGGCCCACCAAGGCAACGAUCAGUAGCCGACCUGAGAGGGUGACCGGCCACAUUGGGACUGAGACACGGCCCAAACUCCUACGGGAGGCAGCAGUGGGGAAUAUUGCACAAUGGGGGGAACCCUGAUGCAGCGACGCCGCGUGAGCGAAGAAGUAUUUCGGUAUGUAAAGCUCUAUCAGCAGGGAAGAAAAAAAUGACGGUACCUGACUAAGAAGCCCCGG
rnacentral:rRNA from 1 species